CAAUGAAACUAUUGCAUUUUUAGAAAGUGCACCAAGAAAGACAAUUAUGGAAAGAGUGAUUCAAAAAAGAAAAGGAAUACCAAAUUGUACACCUGAUAUAUUUGUUUCAUUGUGUCCAUUGCUAAAUUUCUGUUGGCUCUUGUAAAACUUAUAUAAAGACAGUUACAUACAAAGACAUUUACAUACAAAUACUUUAACAAGCAUUAAAUUGUAAUAUUUCAUCUGUGAUCAUGUGUGAUGUGUUCCAUUUUGUGAAAAGUGCAUGUGGCACUGAUCAAUUCAGGUUCUUGUGAUGAGUUCUGAGCUUCUGUAUACGCUAAGUGAACUGCCUGCAUUCUGAAUGUUUGGAAUCAUAGAGCAAUUCAUUUUUGUCUGUUUAUAAGAAAUAUUAAUGUCAGAUUGUUUGUAUGGAGAUGAUCUCCAUUACAUAUAAACAAAAAUUAUUAAAGAAUUGAUUCUU
rnacentral:misc_RNA from 1 species